rnacentral:rRNA from 1 species
UACGGGGGGAGCAAGCGUGGUUCGGAUUUACUGGGCGUAAAGGGCGCGUAGGCGGCGUGACAAGUCACUUGUGAAAUCUCCGGGCUUAACUCGGAGCGGUCAAGUGAUACUGUCGUGCUAGAGUGCGGAAGGGGCUACUGGAAUUCUCGGUGUAGCGGUGAAAUGCGUAGAUAUCGAGAGGAACACCUGCGGCGAAGGCGGGUAGCUGGGCCGACACUGACGCUGAUGCGCGAAAGCCAGGGGAGCGAACGGG